AGCAGCCGCCGCGGGAAAACGUAGGUGGCAAGCGUUGUCCGGAAUUAUUGGGCGUAAAGGGCUCGCAGGCGGUUUCUUAAGUCUGAUGUGAAAGCCCCCGGCUCAACCGGGGAGGGUCAUUGGAAACUGGGAAACUUGAGUGCAGAAGAGGAGAGCGGAAUUCCACGUGUAGCGGUGAAAUGCGUCGAGAUGUGGAGGAACACCAGUGGCGAAGGCGACUCUCUGGUCUGUAACUGACGCUGAGGAGCGAAAGCGUGGGGAGCGAACAGGAUUAGAUACCCGCGUAGUCCCUGUCUCUUAUAC
rnacentral:rRNA from 1 species